UUUACCUACGGGGCGCAGCAGUGGGGAAUAUUGCACAAUGGGCGAAAGCCUGAUGCAGCAACGCCGCGUGAGCGAUGAAGGCCUUCGGGUCGUAAAGCUCUGUCCUCGAGGAAGAUAAUGACGGUACUUGAGUAGGAAGCCCCGGCUAACUACGUGCCAGCAGCCGCGGUAAUACGUAGGGGGCUAGCGUUAUCCGGAAUUACUGGGCGUAAAGGGUGCGUAGGCGGUUUCUUAAGUCAGAUGUGAAAUCCCGCGGCUCAACAGCGGAACUGCAUUUGAAACUGUCAGUCUUGAGUACCGGAGAG
rnacentral:rRNA from 1 species